AGAGUUUGAUCAUGGCUCAGGAUGAACGCUGGCGGCGCGCUUAACACAUGCAAGUCGAACGAGAAAGCUCCUUCGGGAGUGAGUACAGUGGCGAACGGGUGCGUAACACGUUGGUGACCUGCCUUGAGGAGGGGGACAACCGUGGGAAACCACGGCUAAUACCCCGGAUGUCUAAACUGUUAGAGGGUUUAGACUAAAACUUCGGUGCCUCAAGAGGGGCCUGCGGGCUAUCAGCUUGUUGGUGGGGUAAUGGCCUACCAAGGCUAAGACGGCUAGGGGGCGUGAGAGCGCGACCCCCCACAAUGGAACUGAGACACGGUCCAUACUCCUACGGGAGGCAGCAGUGAGGAAUAUUGCGCAAUGGGGGAAACCCUGACGCAGCAACGCCGCGUGAACGAUGAAGGCCUUCGGGUCGUAAAGUUCUUUUCUAAGGGAAGAUAGUGACGGUACCUUAGGAAUAAGUCCCGGCUAACUACGUGCCAGCAGCCGCGGUAAAACGUAGGGGGCGAGCGUUAUCCGGAUUUAUUGGGCGUAAAGCGCACGUAGGUGGCGCUGUAAGUUAGAACGUGAAAGCUCUCGGCUCAACUGAGAGAGGUCGUUUAAAACUGCAGUGCUGAGUUGAA
rnacentral:rRNA from 1 species